GCAGUACCUCGGUCCCCCGUCACCUCUGCAGCGCAGUUUCCCUUCCGGGCAGGCGAAACGCGCACUCCACCACCUCCCCGGUUCCCCGCAAGCUCCUGACGUCCUGAACGCGCACAGUUCUUCCGACGUACUGCAUGAGAUCACGAGAACAAGCAGCCAAAUCUCAUUCCUCCAGGAACAACUCUACUCACUCUAGGACCUAUGGAUAGAAUCCUGGGAGGACAGGCCAAUGCCAGCAGAAAAAGGAUCCAAUCCAGGAUAUCGGAUUGAACUGUCAGGUCUCCUUCCUAUUCUCUAACCUGUGACAGUUUUUGAGCCUUUUCAUGGCUUUCUUCGCCUUCAAAUGUUUGAAAAGUACUGGCCAGUUCUGGAGAUUGGGAAAUCCAAGGACAAAGGGCUGCAUCUGGAGAGGGCCUUUGUGCUGCCAUCCCACGGUGGAAGAUAACCAAAGAUGAAGAGAAAGUCUCCAAGAAGCUGAUAUGUAAGAGCGGAGGGCCAUGAAGCAUAGAAAAACAAGGAUAAGAAUUAUAUCAAACUUCUAAUCAGAAAUCAUGCAAGCAAGAAGAGAAUGGAAUGAAAUAUUUGAAGAGUUGUUUGAAAAAACUCACCCAUCUAGAAUUUUAUUUUUAUUUUUUUCCAAGCCAGACUGUAUCCAGCUUUAUUAAAUAUAAUUUCCACAAGCAGUCAUGGUAUUUCAGGCAGGACAUGGCCAGACAUUCGUUAAAAAUAUACAACUUUCAAACUGCCUUCUUCAAUGGACUACUGAAAAUCAAAAAGCCACUAUAAAACCCAAUGAAGUCUUCAUCUGAUGCUCUGAACAGGGAAAAUUUAGAGUAAGGGUUGACAUUUCACAUAUAGCAUGUGGUUUAACAACUUUUCACAAGCCAACCUGGACUUUCAGGAAGUGAAAUGAAAAUAGCAGAAGUGAUCUGAAGAUCCAUAAUCUAGAAACGGAAACACUGCUCUUUUGAGGAGUACCAUGUCAGUGGCAUCACUGGAAAGUUCAGAUUGCCUGACACUGGCAACCAAUUGUUGGGGGUCAGGUCCCAACAGAUGUCUGGGUUUAAGGGAGUUAAUUCUAUGCCGGAAGGUGGAAAGGAAGAAGAGGACAUAAAAACAAAUUUGUUUUUCCAUACCACAAGGCUUUUGUGCCAAGGUGGCCAUGUGUGUCAAAGUCAGGGAAUCCUUCCUACUGGGAGCCAAGAGGAAGUCUUUCAAAACUAGAAGGGAAAGGUGCUUUGCCCACAUCAAUCCAGCUUUGGAGACAUUGUAUUAGUGACAUAUUCCCCUUCCCCCCAAAACAGCAAAGUGUUCUGCAUGCUAACAACUUAGCUUAAAAAGAUAGUAAAACAAAAUUCUGCAUUUUUAGAAAACUUGAUACAAUAGUACUUCAAACCAUACAGUAAUCAGAAGUACCUAGUUAUCAAAAAUGCAGACACUUCACUUGGCAUCUCCAGCACCUUCAGCUUUCUGUGCCUGGUCUGUUUGGCAUCUCCAUUUUAUGCAGGGUUAUUUCCCUCUUUGCCAGCAUCAGCUACCCACCCCCCACACCGUUUUUCUUUUCUUUGAGAUAGAGUCUUGCUCUGUUGCCCAAGCUGGAGUGCAGUGGUGCGAUCUUGGCUAACUGCAACUUUUGCCUCUCGGGUUCAAGUGAUUCUCCUGCCUUAGCCUCCCUAGCAGCUGGGGUUACAGGCAUGUGCCACCAUGUCUAGCUAAGUUUUGUAUUUUCAGUAGACACAGAGUUUCAUCAUGUUGGCCAGGCUGGUCUCAAACUCCUGAUCUUAAGUGAUCCACUGGCCUUGGCCUCCCAAAGUGCUGGGGUUAUGGGUAUGAGCCACCAUGCCCAGGUCCCUUUUUCCCUCUGGGUACCUUCUCUCCUUUCUUCACAGGGGCCUUUUUAGGCUUGGGCUCUGGCUUUGGAGGAGCAGGUUUAGCAGACAGCCUCAUGGACUACAUCUUCUCUGUAAUUUGUCCUUCACCUGGGCUUUAUCUCUAGCAUCUCCUUUAGCCUUUCUCUUGGGAAUGGUGGCAGCCAUGGUGGUGGGACAUAGGUGCUGGGGCAGGAUGCAGCAGGCUUUGGUCAGUCCACUGGUGGUUCUUGCCUCUUCUUAUUCACGCUGCUUCCAGAAUUUUAUAUUCAGCAAAAUUAUUCUUCUAAAAUGAAGGAGAAAUACUUUCUUGGACCAAUAAAAGCUGAAAAAAAAUUUUACCACCAGAUAUUCCUUGCAAGAAAUGUUACAAGAAGUUUUCAGGCAGAAGGAAAAUGAUAUAGGCAAGAAAAUUGGAUCUAUAUAAAGAAUGGAAGGGUGUUGGUAAAGAAAUAAACAAAGGGUCUGUUCAAGAUGAGAAGCAUCCUUAUCUCCCGUGGGCUUGGAAAGAAGGCAGAAUGGUGGGCCCAACCCAGAUCUACUUAAGCAGAAUCUUCAUUUUAACAUGAUCCUCUGAGAAAACUGGAAAAAGACUACAAAAUAAACAGGAAGGACUUAAAGUUUAUGAAAUAGAAAAAGAUAAAGGAUCAAUAUGACUAAAAGCUAGUUUUUCAAAAGGAC